CAGCCGCCGCGGUAAUACGAAGGGUGCAAGCGUCAAUCGGAAUUACUGGGCGUAAAGCGUGCGUAGGCGGUGAGUUAAGUCUGCUGUGAAAUCCCCGGGCUCAACCUGGGAAUGGCAGUGGAUACUGGCUCGCUAGAGUGUGUCAGAGGAUGGUGGAAUUACCUGUGUAGCGGUGAAAUGCGUAGAUAUAGGAAGGAACACCAGUGGCGAAGGCGACCACCUGGACUAAUACUGACACUGAGGUGCGAAAGCGUGGGGAGCAAACAGGAUUAGAUACCCGCGUAGUCCCUGUCUCUUAUAC
rnacentral:rRNA from 1 species